UUUUAUAUUGAAAAGAAAAAUACAGGAACCAGAUGAUCUAAAACUGUAACUCAGCAAGAUAUACUUUCAAUGGUUAAUUUACUCUCCUGACAAAUCAAAGAGGGAACCAUAAAAUCUUCUUAAAACCAUAUAAACAAAAUUCAGAUUCCAGAGAGGAAAAGAGGUGAUACAAGUUGUUCCUCAGAAUAUUGUCCUCCAUCAACCACAGGUCUAUUAACAAAGGAAAAAGAGAGCUCUAAAGGGUUCAACCAGCAGCAACAUUGAGUUGGACUUUGGAAGAGUAAGCCAGCCCAUUAUAGAUAGCAUGAACGAUGAGCCACCACUCAAAACCAUGGUGAUUUGACUCCUUAAUUUUGCCGUCUUGCUUGAACGAAAAUAUUUGUCUAGGGAAGCCUGCAGCAAUUGAUUCCAGCUGGUGAUGGAUCCGGCUGAUAGUGAGCGAAGUCAAAGCUUGGUUUUGUCCUUCAAUGAGGAGAGAAAUUGGGAAAAUUCUUGAUUGGGAUUUAACUGCUAACAUAAGCAGUUCAGCUCAUGUUCAUUGCUGGAUAUGCUAACUGGCUUUCUUGAUGCAUUGACUAUUAUUUUGAACAAUAAAAUAAUAAACUGCUUUGUUGGAAUAUGCUUGUAAAUAAUUUGACUUUCAGAAAGUUGGUACAUUGGUUCUAAAUUUCUUAUCAGGAAGGGUUAACAUCAACAAAUGAUCAUCUAGAUAUGUGCCAUCAUGCUUCAUAUUGAAAAGAAAAAAAUACAGGAACCAGAUGAUCUAAAAUACUAAAACUGUAACUCAGUAAGAUAUGCUCUCAAUUGUUUAUAUACUCUUCUGAUAUAUCAAAGAGGUACUCAUAAAUAAACUCUUCUUAAAACCAUAAAAACAAAAUGAGUUUUGAUACAUUCCUACUAAUUUUCUCUUCCUAUCUGUUCUCAUUUUCCUAAAACAUCACUAAUCAUAUCUCAUAUUUCUUUCUCUUCCAUUCUUAUCUCUCUACAUGUUGGUGGAACUGAGUUGUAAACAAAAAACAUCCAAACAAAAUUCAGAUUCAAGGGAGGAAAG